rnacentral:rRNA from 1 species
UGGUGGAGUGAUUUGUCUGGUUAAUUCCGAUAACGAACGAGACCUUAACUUGCUAAAUAGAUUGUCAAGCUUCGGCUUGGCAAGGCUUCUUAGAAGGACUUUGUGUUUAUAAUGCAAGGAAGUUUGAGGCAACAACA